GGGAAUCUACCUUUUGCUACGGAAUAACCCAGGGAAACUUGGACUAAUACCGUAUGUGUCCUUCGGGAGAAAGAUUUAUCGGCAAGAGAUGAGCCCGCGUCGGAUUAGCUAGUUGGUGGGGUAAAGGCCUACCAAGGCGACGAUCCGUAGCUGGUCUGAGAGGAUGAUCAGCCACACUGGGACUGAGACACGGCCCAGACUCCUACGGGAGGCAGCAGUGGGGAAUAUUGGACAAUGGGCGCAAGCCUGAUCCAGCCAUGCCGCGUGAGUGAUGAAGGCCCUAGGGUUGUAAAGCUCUUUCACCGGUGAAGAUAAUGACGGUAACCGGAGAAGAAGCCCCGGCUAACUUCGUGCCAGCAGCCGCGGUAAUACGAAGGGGGCUAGCGUUGUUCGGAAUUACUGGGCGUAAAGCGCACGUAGGCGGAUAUUUAAGUCAGGGGUGAAAUCCCGGGGCUCAACCCCGGAACUGCCUUUGAUACUGGGUAUCUUGAGUGUGGAAGAGGUCAGUGGAAUUGCGAGU
rnacentral:rRNA from 1 species